AUUUUUAGUUUUUUUUUUUUUUCUUUGCUUGCUUGGUGGCAAACUACGUGUUAUCUCCUUACACAAGCCACCGCCUAUUGAUUUUCUCAGGAUGGUUUUUUCCACCGCCUCAAAUCCACGACUUUAAGCUUCUUCUUGAAUUUUCUUCACCCCAGAACCAGAAAACCAUCCUAUCCAUUGCCACCGCUUCAUCUAUCCGUUCUUAUACGCCUUCUCCCAUGAAUCAGAUGGUCCUGACCACCGAAGAGAGCAGCGGUGGCAUCCAGUCGGAAAUGUCGCCUCUAAUCUCAACCUUCACUCAAAGUAGAAGGGAAAUAUUUGUAUGAAUCGUCAAAUUCUGCUUUCCCAAAAAGUCUCUCCAUCCGCUAAUCGACGUUUAUUUGAUCUUUUCUUUUUUGUUGGUGGGUUGUCGAUGUUCGAAGCAGGAAAGAGGGCAAAGAGGGUUUUUGGUUGAAAGAAAUCCGGAGUGUAUCCCUCCGGUUCAUCUCCAUCUUCUCCAAAUCGUUGAUUAGGGCUUCUCUUAAUUGUAACAGGAUGUCUUCAUCGAGAAGCGACCGUCACCACCACCGUUGCCGCCUCUACCUCAUGUAUCCUAACCUAUUUGUCACUCACAUCCGACAACACCUUCUGAUUCUUCACAGUCAACGCUUCCACUACCUUUCUCCAAUUUGCUCGGUGUCCCAGUGGCCCUUCUUCUUCAACACAUGUGGGUACCUGAUCGUUAUCUGGUCUACAUCUGUAAAAGAAAGAGGAAAGCAUCCAGAAAACAAAGGAAGUAACAACAUUGUAUUUAUUAACCAUGGUUUGAUUGCUUGAAAUAAGAGCAGAAGAUAAUGGAUUGGUGAUCAAUCUCAAAAAUCACAAAAAGAAAGAACACCAGAAGAUCCUGUCAUACGGUUUACUUUGCAUUCCAUUUUUGUUCCUUUUUUUUUUUGUUACAAUGCCGAAUUUGUAUGUCUAAUUUUUACUUUUUUUUAGUUUAAAGACUAAUUUCAAUCUCAAACAUUAUAAUUUAUAAUGUAGCUCAAGAAUUCAAAUGCAAUUUUGUUUGCUUAAUCCAGUCGUGGGAUUUGAUAUGGGGAGGCGCUGUCAUGGCUUCGGGUGAACCUUCUAUUUUCUUGAUCCCCCAACUCAAAACACAUCAAAUUGUGCUAAUCCGAACUCAAUUUCAGGUAAAUAUAUACAACAUAUAUUAAUUAUUUACCUGUUAUGCAUUGAAAAUUCUUAAAGUUUCUGAAUUUGUGGUUGCUCAAUAGAGUCUGCUUCCCUGAAAUGAUCUUAUAUUACUUUGUGUAUUUAUGUUCAAGAGUUGUAUGAUUUUCUUUGUAGCUGAAUAGGUAUGUUGGUUGAAUGGGUAGCGAAAGACAGCUCCAACUCCAGAUGUGAAUUCCAAUUUCCAAUCUUUGACCCGAACAUUUGGUUUUUGAUUAUUUUGGUUUUACUUGAGAUAAAGCACUAUAUUGUGCAUGCUAUAACUGCAUAUGCAAUUUGUGAUCAUUUCGAUCUUUUCAGGUGGUUAUAUUUUUCUUACUUCAUACAGAUAACCGUUGUGCUUAUUGCGUUUGAUCCUAUUCAUGUAGAUUACAUAAAUAUUCCAUUCCAAAAAUGGUUAGUGGUUUAUUUCCUUUCCAGCAAUGUAGAGGUGUUUAUAUUACGUGCAUGAAAUCAACUAAGCUAAACACCCUUUUAAUCAUUCAUUAAGUGAGGUAAAUAAUCUCACCAGUCCAACUGUAUGUUGCUUGGUUUUUUAUUUUUUCUUAUCUCCAUCAUGAUUAAUGAUUUUAGCAGUAUGUACUCCGUAUUUUUCAAUUGAAAAUGUUUCAUUAUAGUAAACUAAACCACUAACCAUUUAAUUAUAGGUGAGGAGAUCUGUGAAGUAUUUUAUGGAAAAUGCAAUAAAUCAAAUGUCAAGUAAGCACAUGGAUUUAGCUGUUGUAAGUGAAGUAAUCAUUUUUAUAAAAAAAUUGGCAAUACAUGAUUGAUUAAAAUGUUGUUAGUUUGCUUGCAGGAUCUAUUUGCUAUAAUAACAGAUUAACCUUUUAGAUUUCUAGUCACGUUCACCUUUGUAGUGUAGGCAUUUUCAACCCUUGAAAGCUGAAAUGAGAAAGAUGUGAAACUUUUUUUUAUGACUUUCAUAUUAAUAGCUUUUGUUUUUUAGUUUCUAAUGAAAUUUAUAAUCAUUUCCAUGUCAAUUAUUUAUCUUUUAAUCCAUUCAAUGAUUGGGUUUAGGCAAUAGCAUCUUCGGAUACAACGGUGGGGCUUUUUCACAUGAGGAAACUAACAUCACCAUUUCAUGUUUUGAGUAGUCAUACGUAUGCUUCUUCAUUUUGUUUUCUUUUUUUCCUUUUAUGUUUUCUUUAAAUUUAGAAAAAUUAGAGCCAUUAUAUGUAACACAUUGUAAACUUUGUUGCUAUUUCCAGUUUGUUAAUAAAUAACUAUAAAAUACCUUCCAACC